rnacentral:rRNA from 1 species
GUCCACGCCGUAAACGGUGGGUGCUAGUUGUGGGCUCCAUUCCACGGAGUCCGUGACGAAGUUAACACAUUAAGCACCCCGCCUGGGGAGUACGGUCGCAAGACUAAAACUCAAAGGAAUUGACGGGGCCCGCACAAGCGGCGGAGCAUGCGGAUUAAUUCGAUGCAACGCGAAGAACCUUACCAAGGCUUGACAUAUAGAGGAAACGUUCAGAAAUGAUCGCCCCGCAAGGUCUCUAUACAGGUGGUGCAUGGUUGUCGU